rnacentral:lncRNA from 1 species
UCUCUAAGUGGAAGUAUAUGCUUCCUACCUGAGAGAGAAUCGGGUUCAAAUCUUGCGGGGACCUUCUAUAACGUUUAUGACCUGUUUACAGCCAACUGAAGUUGGCUGUAAAGUGCCGUUUGAUUCCGGGACUCCUCUAGCUUGCUUGGUAGUUGCUCAAGACUUCUAAGCACUCUCAAGUACUGCUCUGUGAUGAUUGAUGAUAUAUGCUACACUUAGGAUGGAAUCGUGC